rnacentral:rRNA from 1 species
GGGCCCGCACAAGCGGUGGAGCAUGUGGUUUAAUUCGAUGAUACGCGAGGAACCUUACCAGGGCUUAAAUGUAAGUUGCAUAGAUCAGAGAUGGUCUUUUCUUCGGACUACUUACAAGGUGCUGCAUGGUUGUCGUCAGCUCGUGCCGUGAGGUGUCAGGUUAAGUCCUAUAACGAGCGCAACCCCUGUCGUUAGUUACCAGCAAGUAAUGUUGGGUACUCUAGCGAGACUGCCGGUGCAAACCGUGAGGAAGGUGGGGAUGACGUCAAAUCAUCACGGCCCUUACGUCCUGGGCUACACACGUGCUACAAUGGUCGGUACAGAGAGCAGCCACUACGCGAGUAGGAGCGAAUCCGACAAACCUAGUCGUAGUCCGGAUCGGAGUCUGCAACUCGACUCCGUGAAGUCGGAAUUGCUAGUAAUCG